rnacentral:rRNA from 1 species
UGCGAAGGGGGCUAGCGUUGCUCGGAAUCACUGGGCGUAAAGGGUGCGUAGGCGGGGCUUUAAGUUAGGGGUGAAAUCCUGGAGCUCAACUCCAGAACUGCCUUUGAUACUGAAGAUCUUGAGUUCGGGAGAGGUGAGUGGAACUGCGAGUGUAGAGGUGAAAUUCGUAGAUAUUCGCAAGAACACCAGUGGCGAAGGCGGCUCACUGGCCCGAUACUGACGCUGAGGCACGAAAGCGUGGGGAGCAAACAGG